AAAUUCAUUUUCUUACAAACCAAAAUGUAUCUCUUUUAUCUUCCCCAUUGUGGAAGUCUAAACACCAGAGAGCAGUACCUGGAAAGCAAAUUGCAGGGAGC